rnacentral:hammerhead_ribozyme from 1 species
ACCCAGCUAACGAGCCCCACAUAGGACGAAACUCGCGUCCUAGAU